rnacentral:rRNA from 1 species
CCUACGGGAGGCAGCAGUGGGGAAUAUUGGACAAUGGGGGCAACCCUGAUCCAGCCAUGCCGCGUGUGUGAAGAAGGCCCUCGGGUUGUAAAGCACUUUCAGUGAGGAAGAACGCCUGGUGGUUAAUACCCAUCAGGAAAGACAUCACUCACAGAAGAAGCACCGGCUAACUCCGUGCCAGCAGCCGCGGUAAUACGGAGGGUGCGAGCGUUAAUCGGAAUUACUGGGCGUAAAGCGCGCGUAGGUGGCUUGAUAAGCCGGUUGUGAAAGCCCCGGGCUCAACCUGGGAACGGCAUCCGGAACUGUCAAGCUAGAGUGCAGGAGAGGAAGGUAGAAUUCCCGGUGUAGCGGUGAAAUGCGUAGAGAUCGGGAGGAAUACCAGUGGCGAAGGCGGCCUUCUGGACUGACACUGACACUGAGGUGCGAAAGCGUGGUUAGCAAACAGGAUUAGAUACCCCAGUAGUC